GCUCUAUGAAUAUGUGCAAAAGGCCUUCAGUAUUGAUCCAGAAGAGCAUCAAAUUAUAUUACAGAGAGUCAAAGAGCUAGAGAGGCCAAUUUUUUGUCUUAAAGCCACGGUGAAGCAAGCCAGAAGU